CAGUCGCCACGGUAAUACGAAGGGUGCAAGCGUUAAUCGGAAUUACUGGGCGUAAAGCGUGCGUAGGCGGUUUGUUAAGUCUGUUGUGAAAUCCCCGGGCUCAACCUGGGAAUGGCAGUGGAUACUGGCUCGCUAGAGUGUGUCAGAGGAUGGUGGAAUUCCCGGUGUAGCGGUGAAAUGCGUAGAGAUCGGGAGGAACAUCAGUGGCGAAGGCGGCCAUCUGGGACAACACUGACGCUGAGGCACGAAAGCGUGGGGAGCAAACAGGAUUAGAUACCCCCGUAGUCCCUGUCUCUUAUAC
rnacentral:rRNA from 1 species